UUGGCUACAGAUUUAUUACAUCCGUCUUUGGAAGAGGAAAAGAAAAAUCAUAAAAGAAAUGGCUAGUUCAAAGUCCAAAUUCUUAUUUUAUGGUUGUAAAAUGUUGAGAUUGUCCCAAGAUUACCAUAGUUUUCAGCCAUGCUCAGACAGUGGUUCUUUGUGUGGGUUGUUCAACAGUAUCAGCCUACAGAAGGAAAGCCCAGACUCACAGAGGGUGUUCACUUAGAGGAAAGCAACAC
rnacentral:lncRNA from 1 species